UCUAAUAUGACAGAAUUAAUGUAAUGAAUUUAAGCUUCAUCUAUAAAGAUUUUAAUCUUUUUUUAGAA
rnacentral:tRNA from 1 species